UAGUUCCUGUGGAGACAGAAGCACAUACAAAAAACACAUAGCAUCUUUUCUACAGGAAUGCCAGGGCUUUCAUACCCAGUGGUAGUGGAAAUAUGCAUUAUUUUAUUUGGGCUUUUUUAGCAAAUCAUGAUUCCCAUUAUGAGCUUGAGUGUAUGGGCUUAGUCGCAGUUUUAAGUAACAGCUUGGCUUUGAUAUUUACCAAUAUCAGGGAGUGUUAGUUUGCGCCUCACCCCCACUUCAUGUACUACCCAUUAAAGUUGCUCACACAUCAAAUCAUGAACAAAGGUUGCCAUAUUGGUUUCUGCAUUGUGAUCUCCUGAAGCCAUUUUAACUUUGUCCUUUUCUCCAUUCUCUUCCAAGAGCAACCAUGACACAGGGCGUGUUCACAAAUGAGAAGGUGAAUUUGGGGACCCAGAAGAAAGAAAGCAACUUUCUAUUCAGUUAAAUGAAACAUCCCUAACAACUCUUCAACAUUAACAUGCCUUGUAUUGGGAGCAUGCAAGACUGGACAAUACACUUGGACUAGUUUUAUAUCGACCUUUUGAAUGGAUGUUGCAGUGACAAUAAUGACAUGCACAUCAGGUCAGACAGUUUCAGUAUGGAAGUAAGGGGAGGUAGAGAUGAUGCACAUCAGGUCAGACUGUUUCAGUAUGGAAGUAAGGGGAGGUAGAGAUGAUGCACAUCAGGUAGGACUGGCAUUUUUCAGUAUGGUAGGCAGUCACGUGAUAAAGCACAUGACGCAAUGGUUCACAGGUGGGGAUAAAAGUAAGUGCUCAAGGUGGGAAACUAAAAACUAGUCGAACCGCCUCAGCAGAAGAACAUUUAUAGAAAGAGGCAAAGUGUCCUUCCCAACCAAAAUGAAAAGUUUCCCACCCAGAUGAAAACUGUUACAAAAGCAGCUGGACGUGUGUGGUAGAUGAGGCACAAUUAGUGUACCAGCCAAAAUAAACGACAUGGAGCCAUGAACCGUUACUUGGUAUCAGAGGGCUAACACAGAAGGGGGAGGUUGUGUGCGAGGUUCACACUUCACUUGAGCGCAUGCACCAGAAUGCCAAUGCGCAUCAGCGGUUUCAUUCUGCCACCGUAGCAUGCAAAUCAUUGACAAUACUUUAACGUUACCAUCAAGGGAAUUCCUUACACAUUUUCCAGUAACAAGAUAUGUUAAACACAUGUCAACUUU